rnacentral:rRNA from 1 species
GACGAACGCUGGCGGCGUGCCUAAUACAUGCAAGUAGAACGCUGAAGGAGGAGCUUGCUCUUCUGGAUGAGUUGCGAACGGGUGAGUAACGCGUAGGUAACCUGCCUGGUAGCGGGGGAUAACUAUUGGAAACGAUAGCUAAUACCGCAUAAGAGUAGAUGUUGCAUGACAUUUGCUUAAAAGGUGCAAUUGCAUCACUACCAGAUGGACCUGCGUUGUAUUAGCUAGUUGGUGAGGUAACGGCUCACCAAGGCGACGAUACAUAGCCGACCUGAGAGGGUGAUCGGCCACACUGGGACUGAGACACGGCCCAGACUCCUACGGGAGGCAGCAGUAGGGAAUCUUCGGCAAUGGACGGAAGUCUGACCGAGCAACGCCGCGUGAGUGAAGAAGGUUUUCGGAUCGUAAAGCUCUGUUGUAAGAGAAGAACGAGUGUGAGAGUGGAAAGUUCACACUGUGACGGUAUCUUACCAGAAAGGGACGGCUAACUACGUGCCAGCAGCCGCGGUAAUACGUAGGUCCCGAGCGUUGUCCGGAUUUAUUGGGCGUAAAGCGAGCGCAGGCGGUUAGAUAAGUCUGAAGUUAAAGGCUGUGGCUUAACCAUAGUACGCUUUGGAAACUGUUUAACUUGAGUGCAAGAGGGGAGAGUGGAAUUCCAUGUGUAGCGGUGAAAUGCGUAGAUAUAUGGAGGAACACCGGUGGCGAAAGCGGCUCUCUGGCUUGUAACUGACGCUGAGGCUCGAAAGCGUGGGGAGCAAACAGG